rnacentral:rRNA from 1 species
AGGGAAUAUUGCGCAAUGGGGGAAACCCUGACGCAGCAAUGCCGCGUGAGUGAGGAAGGCCUUCGGGUUGUAAAGCUCUGUCGACAGGGAAAAAGGGCACUUGGGGUAAUAUUCUGGGUGUUUGAUGGUACCUGUAAAGGAAGCACCGGCUAACUUCGUGCCAGCAGCCGCGGUAAUACGAAGGGUGCAAGCGUUGUUCGGAUUUACUGGGCGUAAAGGGUGCGUAGGUGGAUUUAUAAGUCAGAUGUGAAAUCUCGGGGCCUAACCCCGAAACUGCGUCUGAAACUAUUUAUCUAGAAUCUCGGAGAGGAAAGGGGAAUUUCGCAUGUAGGAGUAAAAUCCGUAGAGAU